rnacentral:rRNA from 1 species
CACGGGGGGAGCAAGCGUUGUUCGGAUUUACUGGGCGUAAAGGGCGCGUAGGCGGCCACCGCAAGUCGGUUGUGAAAUCUCCGGGCUUAACCCGGAAAGGUCAAUCGAUACUGCGGGGCUAGAGUGCAGAAGGGGCAACUGGAAUUCUCGGUGUAGCGGUGAAAUGCGUAGAUAUCGAGAGGAACACCUGCGGCGAAGGCGGGUUGCUGGGCUGACACUGACGCUGAAGCGCGAAAGCUAGGGGAGCGAACGGG